rnacentral:rRNA from 1 species
AACGAACGCUGGCGGCAUGCCUAACACAUGCAAGUCGAACGAAGCCUUCGGGCCUAGUGGCGCACGGGUGCGUAACGCGUGGGAAUCUGCCCUUGGGUUCGGAAUAACAGUUAGAAAUGACUGCUAAUACCGGAUGAUGUCUUCGGACCAAAGAUUUAUCGCCCAAGGAUGAGCCCGCGUAGGAUUAGGUAGUUGGUGGGGUAAUGGCCCACCAAGCCGACGAUCCUUAGCUGGUCUGAGAGGAUGAUCAGCCACACUGGGACUGAGACACGGCCCAGACUCCUACGGGAGGCAGCAGUGGGGAAUAUUGGACAAUGGGCGAAAGCCUGAUCCAGCAAUGCCGCGUGAGUGAUGAAGGCCUUAGGGUUGUAAAGCUCUUUUACCAGGGAUGAUAAUGACAGUACCUGGAGAAUAAGCUCCGGCUAACUCCGUG